rnacentral:misc_RNA from 1 species
UCAAAAGUAAGUGAAAAAAAAAUGGGUGCAAUGUGUUAAAAAAAUUUAAGUGCAAGCUAGUUGAAGAUAAAGUAAUUCAACGAGUACCAGCAAUACACAGGAUCUCGUGCAACAUUCAACACCUACAACAACAGCGACAUAUUCACCAUAGAACAAUGUACGUCGUGUUGCUGCUUUUUACGCUGUCGCUGGGACUGACCAAAGGCGCCGUAUUACCAGUUACUUUCGACUACGACUGCAGUCAAAUAGAAUGUGCAACGAAUACCGACAGCUGCCCGCCAGACAGCAUAGAAAGUGAACCUGCGCCUGCAUUCGACGUACUGUAUGGACCCGAGGAGCUUAUGCCACGGCAUGACUUCUACGAUGAGGUGGAUGAUCUCGGCGAUGCGGUGGAGCAACACUUUGAAGAACUACCAAUGGAAUUGAAUGAUGGUACAGCGUUGCCAGUUGCAGCAAAUUCGACUUUAGGUCAGCUGUCCGAUGAUAGAGCCACAAAAGACUUACAGACUGAAAAAGGACCUGAACUUGUGCUGGUGAAGCGUCAGCUACGCUUUGACAACGGUCCUACCGAAGCCAUAGAUGAGCAUGAGCGCAUGCUACAAAUAUGUUGUCCCACCAUGACACUUGAGAGUCUACAACGACGUCGGAGACGACGUUAUUCUAGUGUAGAAGAUUGCAAGUGCAAGCCCUGCAGGGAACUACCGCAGUGUGCGAACGAUGAAGUUGCCGUAAGAGUGCACGAGGCUAAAGGUGUACCAGGUGACUGUUGUCCAACUUACGUCUGCGCACCGAAAAAAGAAUGUAGCGAUGGCGAUGUCCAACCCUACUGGCGUGAUGCAUGCACACGUUGCAGCUGCCAUGGUGAAAAUGGACCUGAACUUUGCCACAAUGAGUGCCCCAUGAAUGAGAUGGGCGAGAUUGAAACACAGCGCAGUUGUUACGCUUCCGAUUCGAAUGAGCCCAUGAUGCAUGGCAGCGAUUGGUAUGAGAAUAAUUGGUGCACCAAAUGUCAUUGUGAAAAUGGUGAGCGUGAAUGUGUAGGAAGUUUGUGUAUGCCCACCACUUGCAGUAACCCCGUAAAAAUACAUGGACAAUGUUGUCCACAGUGUCCGGUGGGUGUGGAAAAUAUAUUGAUUGCCCACGAGAACUCGACAGACACAAGUAAAUCUAGCCAAGCUGAGAAAGAAUUGCAAAGUGAAUCUACAAGCACAACAACUGUAGCCACAAUACUUGAUAACAGUACCACUAAAGGCUCUCCGGAACUUCCUGCGCUAGCCACUUCCACUUUGACUUCCUUAGAGACGUCCUCAGAAUCUUCAACAGUGCUUAUUGCUAUCCAAAAGCAGUCAGCGAGUAGUGAAGAGAAAACGGAGCUUGCACACCCUUCAAGUACAACCACUGACGUAUCUACGACUAGCACUGACGUAUCGGCGAGUACCACUGAAUCCACAACCACCACAAGAAGCAUUGAUGAUAUUGCAUCCGAGUCUUACUUCGGUCCUGUGGUCCAUACAUCCACUGAGGAGAGUAGUACUUCGACACAUGAAAUAUUAGAACAAACUGGUGAAAAUACAACGCAGUCUGUAUUGGAACCACAAGCUGAUAUUUCUACGUCUACUUCUUCCUCAAAUUCGGAAUCGACAUCCACUGUUGAACCAACACCGACGCCUGCAUUUGUAAGCAGCACUAGCGAAACAGUUUCUACGGAAACUUCUACAUACGAAGCGUCAAGCAGUAAAGAGAAUAUCAAGGAGUUCAGUACGACAAGCGUUUCAAUGGCUGACAACUCUUCGACUACGGUUGCUGCUUCUUAUAAAGAAAUUACAACAUCCACGGAAACUUCACAAGAAACACCGCUCGCCAUUGAUAAUGCUGAGUCUACAACAACCACAAACUUCAAGCCAACUGAAUCGACGACAACCGAACUAGAUUCCAUUAGUUCCACAACCGGAAUUUCUAGUACCACUUCAGCUGAUUCAACUACAACCAUAUCAACGACACCUUUAAUAUCUGUGGAGACAAGCUCUACACAUCUUUACAGUCUCUCAACCAGCUCGCCUCUUCCCAGCACCGCAAGUCCACAAACAUCCACCACUUUUACCACAAAUUCACCAUAUUCCAGCACCGCAGCAACACAAACCGUUUCAACUGUCAUCUCUUGGUACACAUUCUCAACAUCGGCACCCUCACCGCCCAUACCACAACCCACCGUCUAUCAGCCCAGUGUACGACAGUUCUUCACACGUCCCGAGGUGCGUUAUAUAGGCGCAACAGUAUUUGUCGCUUUCACAGUCAUAUGCGCGCUGGCGGUGUGGAAAUUUUGUAUGCCAUCACGUAGCGAAAGACUAAAAAAUCAUUAUCGGACGGUGCCCAGCUCGGAAGCGACCAGUUUGAGUCACAUCUCUAGUACGUCGCACUCUUCCAUGGCAUAGAUGGUGACCGCAUGAGAAAGGAAAGUAGGAAAUAAACAGAGAUUAAGUGUUAGAAGGUGCUGCUCAUGAUUCUCAGCAGUGGGCGCAGACUUUUGGAAACUGAAAUACAUAUGUUGUUGAAUUAAGCACUACGCUGUGGCAAAUUAUUAUUUUUCAUUUUUUUAUUGUAAAAAAUUUUACUAUUAAAAUGCAUAUGUGUGCAUUAUAUUGGAAUGUACUGAAAGAAAGAGCGAAAAAAAUCAGCAACUGGGAAAGAUAAUUUAAAUAAUAAAUUUUGUAGGCGUUUACGUGUGUCACAAGACAGCAAAAAACAAAAAAAGGAACAACAAAUUCUCACACAAAUAUUUAUUUUUAAUUUAUUUGCAUUUUUUCUAUAUUUUUGUUUUUGUAUUGUCGCAUUAUUUAACGUAAUUGGCAAUUGUGUAAUAAUAUUUUUAUUGGCAAUUAAAAUCGCAUUAAAAUCAGUGUGUACAAAUUCAUUGUGUUUUUGUUAUUGUUUUUUUGUAUUUCUAUGGAUUUUUUUUGUUUUCGGUCGAAAAAACGCCUACAUUAAUUAUGCACACACACACACAGACACACACGAAUCGGAAGACAUUUGCAAUUAAACUGAUUUAUUUUUAUUGACAUAGCUAUAAUUUACAGAUUAUGUAAUAUAAUAUAUUUUUAAAUUAAAUUAUAUAAAUUGUAGGUAUGUUUAUAUAUAAAAUGUGAUAGGACAAUGUUCCAGAAACGGUUUUGUUUUUAAGCAGGCAACGUAGCAUUGCAUUGCAAGCUUCGAAAAAUAUCAAGAGAUAUGUAAUGUAUGCAAACACGUGUGAAAGUUUUCAAAUUGAACACAAUUUUUUUAUAUUUAAAGCAAAUUUAUUAUUUUUAUUUUUAUUCAUUUUUUUUUAUUAUUUUUCAAGCUUUUCAGAGCAUUAUUAGA